AUGCCACUCAUCUUGUACCCUCCAAAAGGAAUUCCAGCAUCAAAUAUAUCGUAGCAGUUAACCCACACCGUUCCAGCUCUCAAUCCUCGGGUCAAGGUGUUUGCUGUGUCGAUGUUCUUUGUGAAAACUCCUGCUGCCAGACCAUAGCGAGUGUUGUUUGCUCUCUUUAUUACUUCGCCAAUAUCCUUGAAUUUGAAGACACAUUGCACUGGACCAAAAAUCUCAUCCUGU
rnacentral:misc_RNA from 1 species